rnacentral:tRNA from 1 species
GGCGGCAUAGCUCAGCUGGCUAGAGCGUUCGGUUCAUACCCGAAAGGUCAUAGGUUCGAUUCCUAUUGCCGCUACCA